UACAGAGGUCUCAAGCGUUGUUCGGAUUCAUUGGGCGUAAAGGGUGCGCAGGCGGCGUCACGCGUGGAUAGUUGAAAUCUCCUGGCUUACCUGGGAGGGUGGUAUCCAGACGGUGGCGCUUGAGGGUCGGAGAGGGGCGUGGAAUUCCGGGUGGAGCGGUGAAAUGCGUAGAGAUCCGGAGGAACACCGACGGCGUAGGCAGCGCCCUGGACGACACCUGACGCUGAGGCACGAAAGCUGGGGGAGCGAACAGG
rnacentral:rRNA from 1 species